GACACACAGCAGGCUCAAGUCCGUCUGGGUGGCUGGGACAUGCCAGGCCCCUGCAGUAUCUUUCUGCCUGACCAGGAGAGGCUGGGGAGAGGCAGCAGCAUGCUAUUGGACAGAAGCUGAGCUGCACAGAACCGUCCCGCUGCAGGUGACAGAGCCAAAGUAGACUGGCUACGGCCAAGAAGAGAGUUACUUGAGGCACAACAGCUUCAGGCCUAGCUGGUUCCAGGAGCUCAUCACUAGACCUCGGAUGAGCUCAGGCAGACUCUCUUCCAGGGGUCUGAGCCCACGUCCUGGGCUGACAUUCACUGGCUCUUGCUGCCCUGGCUUCAGUCACGUGUCCAACUCUGGGCCUAAGGGUGGAGCCAGCCCCAUUUCUGGCACUGAGCAGGGUGCAGGCCUGGCUGCCUCAGGAAGAGCAGGGUGCUGUAGCCAGAAGCAGCUGGAACAGAUGAUGGGCUGGGGGUGUCCACAACCACAGUCACAUCUGAGGGUCAUGGAACAUUCUGGAAGGGAGGUACAGGGGUUCAGGUCUGGCUCUCUAUGUGAUUGGGGACAGGCCAAGUCUCUGCACAGUGAGGUCAUGGGACCAUCCUGGCCACCUGGGCUUGCUAUGAGGCCACGCAGCAGACCACUCCAGCUGCCAGGGCCAGCUGGUCACUCGGGAGCAAGGGUGACCAGAGACAGGCUGCUGCCUCCUUUGCUCGAGGACACUGGCCUCGGCGGGUGAGGAACCUCCGUCUCCACAUUUUCCACUCACAUCUGCCUGGCUGGGGCCUCGGCUGGGGGCCUGGCUGGGACCAUGACUGGGGGCCACCUGCGGCCUCUCUGGACGGCUUGGGCUUCCCCACAGUGUGGUCGCCUGGGGCAUGAGACUGGGCAGGCUGCACUAGGACCCAAGACUGAGGGAACACUGGCCUCCAGCCACCUGGCCUUGCAAGCCCUCGGCCCAACUGCCCCGUCCUGCCCUGGUGGAGCCCAGCAGAGGAAGGAGUGAGCCACCCCUGUGUCCUGGUGGGCGGCAUCAGAGGACUGAAAACCUGCUGAGCGUGCACAAGACCUUCUGAGGCCCUCAGCUGCCAAGAGUGUGCCCCAGGGACAUGGGUGACGCCUGGGGACCAAGCUGGUUGUCACAGCUGGGUGGUGUUGGGGUGCCAUUGGGGUGCUAGUGGCACCCAGGGUAGAAGUCGGGAGGUCUACCUCCAGGGCAGGGCGGCCCCGCCACGGGGAGUGACCCAGCCCCAAACACCCACAUGGCCGCCGUGGAGAGACGAGGGACGAAGGAGGUGGACUCCAGGGGUGGCCAUUCCUCAGGCUGCAGGGACUCCCCGGGCUGGCCCCUGGUGGGUGCAGGAGGGCUGUCCUGAGGGGCAGGUCUCGGGCAGGCUGAGGACGGAGGUCUGGGGAUGCAGCCUGGGACAGGCUCUGGCUGGGUCCCUUCCUGGUCCUGCUGCCCCUGCAAAGCCUCCUCUGCCUGCCCGGCUGGGAGCCGUGGGGGCCACUCACGGCUGUGUGGGCCUGGCCAGCGUGACCCGCUGACCUCAGGACUGCAGUCCGUGCCACGGCACCACCCGGCUCCAGGGUGCUGGCUGGGGUCCAGGGCCGGGCGCUGUCCCGUUUCCUCCCUCCCCGGCCCCACCCCAGGUUCCCCAGCUCGGGCCGCCGGCCGCAGCCUUCCGGGCCCUGCUCUGGGCAGCUGCCCGAGAACGUGGUUCCAUUUUUGGGAUUCUUGGGGAGUGAGCAGCCUGGGCUGUCAACAGAGCUCUGUUCACAGAGGCCACCGGCAAAGAGAGAGGGCAGCCAUUGUCCGGGGCCACAGGAAUGUGCCGGAUGCCAGCCGGGGGGCACAGCCCCAGCGCAGGGCUUUGGUGUGCGAACAGCAGCAGAGGCCUGGCCAACCCCCAGUGACGAUGACCGCAUGUCGAGAGCUGGGCUGGCCUCCAGGUAGCAGGACUGUCGUAAAAUAGGGUGGAGGUCCCUGUCCCCGGAAGGAGGUCACAGAGCAGGCCCAGGCGUCCCCACGGAGAUGGCAUCACCUCUGCACAGGAGGGCCCCCAGCUGCAGGCAGCUGCACCCAGGGUGCCCGAAACCCACCAGGACGUGGGACGUGGACCCCAAGGGUCCCCGUGAACAGGCCAGCGCGGUGCAGGUGGAGGAGGCGAGAGGCCCUGACCUUGGUCACCUCACCUCUGAGCCGGGCUCGCGGCACCACAGGGUGGGACGCGGCACCCGCCGCCCCACGCCACGGAGACAGCCUGCGACAGCGCCGACCCCGCGGGGCAGGAGUGACGAAGGCACCUGGCCUCGGCCCUCCUUCCAGAGCCAUGGCAUCAGGCUCCGGGAGAGGCCGGCGACAGUCAGGUCCCACCAAGGGGCACCCGUGACACACCCAGGGGCCUCAAAACCACCCAGGCCGCCAAACCAAGGCCGGUCUGAGUGCCGUGACAGCCAGGGGACCCACCAAGUGUCACGUUUGAUCCAGGGCGGGAUUAGGGACAGCAGGGGCUGGGGACCAAGGCCAAGGAGAGCCACAGGGGCUGAUGUGCCCUGUGGGCCCCUCCACUGUGACCCCAGUGGGCACGGGGCCAUCUCUGGGCUGCGCCCACGUCCCUCGCGAGGCCCUGAGACCCUCCGAGACAUGAAAGUACAUGAGAAAGUUCACGCAGGCCCCACCCAGGUCACAUGCUCCUGCCCCUGGGGUAGGACCUCCCACCUGCUCUCCUCUGGACCCCUGGAGGGAGCCCCAGGCCACACGGUGGGACAGCCAGGGACCAGUCCUGCAGCUGUGGGAAGACGGAGGGCCCCAACCGGGCAGGCUGGGACUGGCCAGGAGCCUGCCCACAGGGGACGUCCAGGGGGUGGCCCGGGGUCCCCACUCCCCGGCACCAGCCCCAGACACAUCAGCCCGAAAUGGCUGGACGGCCAGUGCCACGGUCACCCUGUCCCUGCGGCACCCCGUGGCUCUCACAUGUGCGCACUGUGGCCAGGCCCCUCCCGUCGGCCCCGCUGUGUCCAGGCUCACGGUCCCACCAGUGGGGCCCCCUGCCCUGUGGCCCAGGUCAGCAGAUGGAGCCUCUCCCUGAGCUGUCCCUGUGCCCCCUCCUCACCUGCCACCCACAGGUGGCCUGUGUGAAUUCCUCCCUUGCUGGACCCUGCUCCUGCCCCUGCCCAGGUGGGCUGACCGCUCUCCAGAGCCGUCCUGUGGGCUCGAGGCCCCGGGCAGGCAUGGGCCACGCCUCCUUACUCUACGCAGGUGGCAAUGAGGCCCAGCUGUCCCCUGGGGAACCAGGGUCUGACCAGCCCGGCACAGAGGAGGGCAGGGGACGGCCCAGAAGCAGG
rnacentral:lncRNA from 1 species